rnacentral:lncRNA from 1 species
AUUGUCGCACAAUUCCUUUAUCUCUACUUCUUCUAUUUCUUCUUAUCCAAUUGCACCAUUUUUUCAUCGCACCAUUUUUUCUUUACUAAUUGCAUCAUUCUCUAGUCACAUUAUUCCUUCCUCUCCUAUCGCACCAUUCUUUCGUGGGACCAUUAUCUCCUUAUUAGUUGCACUAUUUCCUUGUCGCAUUAUUCUCCCCUUCUAGUCACACUAUUCUCUCCUCUCCUGUCAUACCAUUCCUUCCUCACUAGUCGCACCAUUCUCUCCUCUUUGGUCGCACCAUUCUUCUUUCAUUAGUCGUACCAUUCUUUCUUCUCUACUCACACCAUUCCUUCCUGAUUAGUCGCACCAUUUCCUAUUAAUUGAUCACACCAUUUUCUCAUCGCACUAUUUCUUCUUUAUCAAUCGCACCAUUUUUUCAUCGCACCAUUUCUUUUUUACCAAUCGUAUCAUUUUUUUUUCACUUCUCACACCAUUCUCUCAUCGCACCAUUCCCUUCUCCCAUGUAACACCAAUCUCUCAACCUUAAUUGUAACAUUCCUUCCUCAUUAGUCACACCACCCUCUCGUUGCACCAUUUUUUCAUUACUA